rnacentral:rRNA from 1 species
CCUACGGGGGGCAGCAGUAGGGAAUAUUGCUCAAUGGGCGAAACCCUGAAGCAGCAACGCCGCGUGGAGGAUGAAGGUUUUCGGAUUGUAAACUCCUUUUGUUAGAGAAGAUAAUGACGGUAUCUAACGAAUAAGCACCGGCUAACUCCGUGCCAGCAGCCGCGGUAAUACGGAGGGCGCAAGCGUUACUCGGAAUCACUGGACGUAAAGCGCGCGUAGGCGGGAUAGCAAGUCAGAUGUGAAAUCCUAUGGCGUAACCAUAGAACUGCAGUUGAAACUGUUAUUCUAGAGUAUGGGAGAGGUAGGUGGAAUUCUUGGUGUAGGGGUAAAAUCCGUAGAGAUCAAGAGGAAUACGCAUUGCGAAGGCGACCUGCUAGAACAUAACUGACGCUGAUGCGCGAAAGCGUGGGGAGCAAACAGGAUUAGAUACCCCAGUAGUC